UACGUCGGGCGCAAUCGUUGUCCGGAAUUAUUGGGCGUAAAGAGCUCGUAGGCGGCUUGUCACGUCGGUUGUGAAAGCCCGGGGCUUAACCCCGGGUCUGCAGUCGAUACGGGCAGGCUAGAGUGUGGUAGGGGAGAUCGGAAUUCCUGGUGUAGCGGUGAAAUGCGCAGAUAUCAGGAGGAACACCGGUGGCGAAGGCGGAUCUCUGGGCCAUUACUGACGCUGAGGAGCGAAAGCGUGGGGAGCGAACAGG
rnacentral:rRNA from 1 species